rnacentral:lncRNA from 1 species
CUUAACCAAUGAUGGCUUAUUCUCCUUUUAAUCAUACUAUAAAUUCCUUGUCUGUGAAAGUUGGUUUUGGUGAUGCUUAUUCGAUUUGGAACUGGAAGGGGCCUGAAAGGAUUAGGCAACAAUUAACUUCUUACAAUGAAGAAUGGAUUAGAACUUAGAAGGGGCAUAACAACUAAUGCUAACUGUGGGAGAUGUAGUGACCAGGUUAACUCUAUGAUUCCUUUGUUGAUAGAUUGUAAUGUGGUAAGGAAUUUUGGACAAGAUUGUCUAUUAUGAUUAUUGGAGUAAAAUUUUUAGCCUGGCUUAAUAUAUGAGUUUAUCUCAUAUCUCACUUAAAUGGCCUUUUACAAUACUACCAGAAUGGAUAGAUGAUCCAAAUUAUUGUUCACUCGUCACUCGUAUUUGGGCUUCACUUCAAAUUCUUUUUCAAUGCUGUACUCGUGGGUGUGUUCGUUACUUCAUUCACUUUGUCAUAUUUAAAAUACCAAAUUGUAUUCGAUAUGUGAUUAGUUAAUAGGUAGUUAGUAGUUUGUUAUUAGUUACUCACUUGC